rnacentral:rRNA from 1 species
CCUACGGGAGGCAGCAGUGAGGGAUAUUGCGCAAUGGGCGAAAGCCUGACGCAGCGACGCCGCGUGAGGGAAGAAGGCCUUCGGGUCGUAAACCUCUUUUGCCGGGGAAGAAGAUCUGACGGUACCCGGCGAAUAAGCCACGGCUAACUACGUGCCAGCAGCCGCGGUAAUACGUAGGUGGCGAGCGUUGUCCGGAUUUACUGGGCGUAAAGGGCUUGUAGGCGGUCCGUUAAGUCCGGUGUGAAAUCUCCCGGCCCAACCGGGAGGGAUCAUCGGAUACUGGCGGGCUAGAGGGAGGCAGAGGAAAGCGGAAUUCCCGUUGUAGCGGUGAAAUGCGCAGAGAUCG